rnacentral:lncRNA from 1 species
AGAUGGAGUCUGUUGCCUAGGCUAGAGUGCCGUGGCUUGGUCUCAGCUCACUGCAACCUCCACCUCCCGGGUUCAAGUGAUUCUCCUGCCUCAGCCUCCUGAGUAGCUGGGAUUACAGGCACCUGCCAUCAUGCCCAGCUAAUUUUUGUAUUUUUAGUAGAGACGGGGUUUCACCACGUUGGCCAGGCUGCUCUCGAACUCCUGACCUCAAGUGAUCCACCCACCUCUGCCUCCCAAAGUGCUGGGGGCAUGAGCCACCACGCCCAGCCCUAUUUUCCUGUUUUUAAUGUCAUUAUUCCCUUCUCUCAAACCUUGGCACCAUGUUUCCAAACUCUUGGUCUCCUUUCCUUGGUAAACUUUAUUUUGUCUUUUCCAUUGUCUCUGUUAGGUACCUGAUAAUUAGGACAUUGUGAGCCUAACAUUGAAAAGCAGCUCCUCUUGUCAUGAUUGUUAACAUUUUAUAGAUUAUAUUGCUCUAUAUUAUAUUCCACUGUGUGUUUGCCUGCUACUGUUGCUUUCACUAUUCUAAUAUGUGUAAAAGAUCAGCAUAUUCCCUGAUGUGUUAGAAAAGAUUCUCUUCGUUUAUAUUUAGGAGGGAGGCGUUUUCUAUGGUGAGCCACAAUACACUCACCUUUCUCUUGUUGUUGUUGCUAUAGGACUAAGAUCACUAACUUCUCUUAGGAAGAUGCUUAGGUAACCAUGAUGAUCCUAAACCAUAACCCUGAUGAACAUGUUAAAGAGACCUCUAGGGAAGGAGGAUUUAGGCAAGUUCAUUUUAGUUCCAUCUAGAAAAGGAGUGGUAUCAGCACAGUAAAGCUAACCAGUAGAUACUGUGGUUUUUCUCUGUGAGCCUACUAAACAGGGCUUUGGGCACUGGCACCAGCACUCUGAAAUGCCACCACCUGUGUGGUGAUAGGGAGCCCUGUAUAGCCUGUGCUACUUGUGUAAUGUGAACCAAGGCCCCCAGUGGGUUGUGAGAAAGCUGGAAUCAAUCAUCCUUUCUUCCUUCCCUCCCUCUCUUCCUCCCUGUUUCUCCCUCCCUGUUUCUCCCCUCCUCCUUUUUUGUUUUAGACUGCUUGUAAUCAGCCUGAUCUGAAUCUUCAGUCCACAUGCUCUUUCCUGGUUUGGCCCCACUUCUCUAAGAUAGUCUGAAAAAAAGGAAAAUGAAAAGGAAGGUACCUGUUCCAGUUCUUGGUAGGUAGGCAGUCUGAGGUGACGGAGCUCCUCCUUUGAUUUUAUGAGGGAGUCUUUAUUCUCCCACUUGACAAAAGCCCGCUUUCUGACCAAGACUGGGCUAGGACAUGGAGAGGUGGGACUGGGAAGCACAUAUAGAGUAUCCUGGGCUGUCUUCCUUGGGGAAGACAGCACAAAGGGACCUGAAGGGCCCUCACUGCCAAUCCAAGGCUGUGAUUCAGUCUGGGUGGCCUUGUGGGCAACAGCCCUCUUCAGCCGAAGAGAAAUCUUCUGUGAGGACACUCCCAUCAGCAUGAUGGUCCGAUCCUUACUCUCCUCACCAUGUUCCACAGCCUCCCCAUUAGGGAAUGUAAAAGGUCCUUCCUCAGGUGCUGUAGGAAGAUACAGGACAUGCUAGUACUCUAGCUCAGGAAAGCAGAGACUCAAGACUGAGACAUUAGUUUCAAUGAGACCUUUCUUAUUGUUACUGGAGUUCCAUAUGUUCAAAGAGGACCCAUUUUCAGGCACCCAGUUUAGGGGGUGAGGGCUAAAUCCAGGGGCUUUGGCCAAGACAUGGCCACUGGUGUCAAGCUACAUCCACCCUGAGAAAGAGCAUCUUCUGUUUGCACAAAGGUUGCUUAGAGGGUUUCUGUUUUUGGAGGUAAGUUGAAGCCCCUGCCUCAGUGCCACAGAGUUUCAUAAAAUAAAGAGAACAAGAACAAUAUCUAGACAGAAAUGCUCCAUAAAUACUUUUUUGGACCCUGGAAUUUGGGAGCUCUCCACAUUCAUGUCUCAGUCCUGAUACAGACACCCUCUAGCAGGUAAGUACUCUCUGGGAACCCGUUUGUACAGUGGGCACAGCUUAACCAUGAGAAAGAAGUUUUAGCUUUGUGGAAAUGUACCUUAAAAUGUAUUGCCCCUGUUUGAUACUGAGAGGAAAAAGGUAAGUUACUCUGGUUUUCUUUAACUAAGACCCACUACCCAGGAUCCAGCCUAGUAAUGUUAGCCAUAAGGAGUAAUUUCCUGGAAAAGUAAAGUAAGAGCAGAUGUAUUUGAGGUGGGCGAUAGAUAGGCUUUAAGAUAAACUGAAGAUCAUCUCAGUUUACUUUUUGGAAAGACUCAGCAGUGAUUAAAACAUUGGAUAGUCUGACUUUGAAGACAUUGGAUUAGUAUAGUCAAGAUGGCUUUAAAAAACAACAAAAAAGUUUUCUAAUUAGUAUUUGACCAGAAUCAACCAGUUGUAAAACUAGAAAUCUUACAAAGAUCUUAGUUUAAUUCUUGCCAAAGAGAACAUAAUUUAAAUUAACAUUUAAUAUUUAUCCAAUAAAGCUCAAAAUUGUAAUUACAUAGUUAUUUAAGUGCUCAAAUAUUUAAAUUGUUAUGGUCACCCUAAAAUAAUUACAUUUUUUUUUUGGAGGAGUAUUAUGGGUGAUUAUUUUUUAUAUCUCCAUUUUCCAACUUUUCUGUAAUACAGUUAUACAUUCUUUUUACCAACCUAGAUUGUCAAAUUAUGAAUAUAAUCCCCUCCAUUAUUUAGGUUGAAUUCCUAGACAUACAGGGAGCUUGGGACAGAAAUUCAGGCACUAUACACUUUGAGGAGCAAAAGGAAGAAAGCAGUAAGAACAAAAAGCAACAGAAAGCCCUUAAAAUUGCAGGAAGAGUCCUGAGAGAUGACAGUGUUAACAGAAAUUAGGAGAGGUACAAGUUUCAAGAAAGUGAAAGUUGAUGAGAUUGAGAAAGAUAGUAAUGGGCUAAAAGAAAUCACUGGAAAUUUUGAUUUGAUAAGCAGAAACCAUCCCCGAUAAUAAUGAGAUAGAAAUAACUAAGAAUGGAUGAUAUCCAAUAGUCAUUUUUGCCAUUAUAAAUAGACCUUGACUUUUAGCAACUUUAUAAUAAUAUAGUAAUUUUCAUUUUGUUGCCCAUGAUACAUGUAUGUUUAUCCUACCUAUUGGUCUACUUCCUGACAAGUACUUAUCUUACCACUGUGGGGCAGGGUUUGGAAAAGGGGAGAGAUGGCCUGGAGAGGAGAAAUCUCUAACAACUGCCCCUUCAGGGAUUCCUUUUUGAGGCCUCAGAUUCAGGCUGUUCUCUGCUGUCUUUUCCACUUGAAAAUCUGCAUUUUAUGUGACAGAAUUGUGGUGCCCUAAGGUUAUGUGUAACUCUGAAAAUACAGAGUGCAUGAAUGAAAUACAGGGUACAGGCCUAUUUUUCACAAUGGUGUUUGUGAUUUCUAUUAAAAGUUGAACAUCAAAUUCUUAGUUGAUUAGCAUAUUCUUUCUUAGAAAAGACCCUAAGAGGAUUUUUUCCCCCUAAGAACAAAACACCCCAAAAGUUUGAAGUCAGCCUGUGUUUAGAUAGAUAGUAAGGGGAAAGAUUUAGGAAGACAGAAAAUUUUUACUUGGCUGAUGUGAUAAAAAGGAAUGUGCAUUUCUUACAUGGAAGUGAAGCACUUAAGCUUUGAUCUAAUUGAUCAAUAAAUGCAUGUGGAUAUUUACCACUGAACAUUAGAAGUGCUUUAAAUGCAGAAUGUAUACUAUAUGGACUUUUUCUCUAGGCAUCUGUUGUAACGAUAGUGGCCUUACCACUUUAGGGAGCUUAUUUCAAAAGAGUAAUGAUAUUAACAUAUGGUACAUACGUGUUAAGCCCGAUUUUAAGUGCUUUAUAUAAAUAAACUCAUUUCUUAUUUCCCUUUUUGGUUCUACUUAGAAGUCACACAGCUUCUUAUAUUAAACUGGCACUAACCUAAUAAGCACUGGAUUUUUGCUGAAGACCUAUAUGUUCUUUAGUUAGUCAAGGUGAUCAGUGUUUUGACAUGCUGGCUAACCAGCCAGCCCAGAGAUCAGGGCCUAGUAUAGCACUAUGAAGCCUUGUGCCCCAACCGUCCCCAACAAGCCCUUCAUGUUACCCUUUUUUAAAUAGCUCCUCAUUUUAUCAUACAGACAGGCACCUGUCAUUUAAGACUCUCUAGACUGUCUCAUUUUUCUACUUCAUCUCUUACCUAAAUCGCCUUAACACCUUUUUUUUUUUCCCACUAUCCCAAUAGUACUAAAGCUGUUCUGCCCUUGGCCUUUUGCUCCUACUGUACAUCCUAUCUGGAAUGUGCUCUGUCCUCCUCCCAUAACUUAAUUCUACCCUUCCUUCAAGACUUAGCUGAAAUUCCACCUUCUCCAUAAAGUCCCAACAGCCCCAGUACAGCGAUCUCUCUGCUAUGUCCUCCUGUCAUUUGCUGUCACUGCAACCUAUUUGGCUCUUAGCAUAUACUCUUGCAUUGUUUCUAAACUGCUCUAUAUUUGUAUAUUAUCUUCCCCCUAACUAGAACUACUCCAUGAAGACAGAGACAGUCUAUUCUGCUUCUUUGCACUUUAGAUCUGGGGCAUCUCAAACAUACUCAAAGUCAUUUCCUUAUUGUACUGUUGUUUGCAUUUUAAUGUAAGUGAAUUUGCUAGUUUAUUUCUUGAAUGUUGAAUGUUUUGUCUCAGUCCUAGGAUUUUCCUUGUAUGAUUUGGAAUUUUAAUCUGCAAGCUCCACUUGAGUGGGAGUUUGCCCCCCGCCCUUCCUUUCUACAUUUAGCCUUCUGUUUCUAGAAUUUUGACAAUUACCUGCUACCUGGCCCCUCAGGGUUCCUCAGACUAGGACCUGGUCUUAAAUUAAUGGCUUGGGGUUCCUCUCCUGGAGAAAAAUUGGGGCUAUCAUAGACAGUCACUCAGCUAGUAGAACUCUGUCUGUGGCUAAGUCUGCUUCCUGCUGCUAAGUGACAGUCACAGUUUUUUAAGCAUUGGAUUUUUCCUUCUCAAUUUUAAGCAGUAAGUCUGGUUCUGGUCACCUUUCACGCAUAGGUGGUCUCUGUUACUAUGCAGAAAUCAAAUUCGCAGCUGCCUCUACCUGCUUCUAGACAUGCAGCCAAGCAGACCAGUAGCUUUAGCAUCUACUCCUUGCAGUAUGUUUCUAGUACAUGUGUAACCUUGAGAUAUCUGUUUUUGAAUGCACUAUGCCUUUUAAUGUGAUUUAUAUAUUAUAUAUGUUAAUUUACAUUAUAUAUACACACACAUAUACAUAUGCAUGUACAUACAUAUUUUCCCUAGUCACUGUUUUGGGUUUGGAGCUGGGGAUAGGGUGGGAUAGUUAACUGUUAACUUGAGGCACUAUCUUGGCCAGAAGUCAGUAUCUGUGCUUGGUGUAGGUGCUCAAUAAGUACCUGCUGAUUUUUAUGCCUAACUAGGACUCUGCUAUUCUCACACCUUAAGUCUAAGACAUAGGCAUGGAGCUAAAAUCCAAAACUGUGGGAGGGGUCAGCCCUGGCCUAGCUGUUGAGGUUACAUUUAAACUCAAACACAGAGUCAUGAGGUAAUCUUUCCGUCUCUAAAACUUUUCCCUUCCUACUUCACUUUCCAAGAUGAAUGUUCCCAGUGCCUACUUACCAUGGAGCAGAUCUUUGGCUCCCAAUGAGCAAAGGUUGGACACUGGCCCCACAGAAGUGUUGUUCUCUGUGGGAGCUACUGGGUUCUUGGCUCGCUUCUUACACUCAAACACAACCAGAUCUUUGCAUUGUUUGUGACAGUUCAUCCCGCAGUCUGUGGACAAGACAUCCUGGGUCAAGAAGUCUUUCACUUUUCUCUCUUCCCCAGUGUGUCUCACAACCAAAUUCAUGCAGUGCUUUCUUGUCACACAUGUCUGUUCUAUCUUCUGGAGCUAAGACACUUAACAUUCCUAAUGAAGCUAGCAUUCUUCUCACUUGGUGAAGCCCAGAGCUCACACUCUUGAUGUAGCCCUUAUCAGUGAAUCUCAGCAUCAGAAGCAGUAUCCUGAUAUCUUGGAGGGAAGAGAUGGUGUCCUGGUAUCCCAUACAUUCUGCCUACUCUAGGGAGACCCUCCGGAAACACUCAGCUGUUAGGUCUUAUUUUCUUUCUUGCAGUAAAAGGUUUCCUCUCUUUCACUCCUGAAUUCUCCUAGUCACAAGGAAGGACAGUUAUGUCCUGAGUGAUAAAGGAAAGCUGACAAGGGCCUUUAGUAAUCAUUUAUCUUCUGUUGCAGAAGAGAUUCUAUCUUUUUCACUGGGGACCCACCCUUCCAUGACUAUAUGAGAGCACCAUCUCCUACCUGCUAUCCCUGUUCUAGGCCAGCCACGACAGAAAGAGGAUUUUAUACAGAGAAAAUGCCUAUCUGUGCAACCAGGCAUUUCUCUCUUCGGUGUGGCGGUCAUUCACCGGGGGUGUCCGAGGGAAACCACUUUGGGGAUGAGACUCUGAACUAUGCUGAGAAGUUGUGGACUAAAUGGACAACUACUAUGGGUAAAAAAUGUUUUAGAGGUGGGACUCUAAGACCAGCUGAUAUGGUUUAGCUCUGUGUCCCCAUCCAAACCUCACCUUGUAGUGCCCAUAAUCCCCAUGUGUCAUGGGAGGGACCCAAUGGGAGGUAAAUGAAUCCUGGGGGCGGUUACCCUCAUGUUGUUCUCAUGAUAGUGAGUGACUGCUCAUGAGAUCUGUUGGCUUCAUAAGGGCUUUUCCCCCUUUUGCUCAGCACUUCUCCUUCCUGCCAGCAUGUGAAGAAGGAUGUGUUUGCUUCCCCUUCUGCCAUGAUUGUGAGUUUCCUUAGGCCUCACCAGCCCUGUGGAACUGUGAGUCAAUUAAACCUCUUGCCUUUAUAAAUUACCCAGUCUCAGGCAGUUCUCUAUAGCAGCGUGAGAAUGGACUGAUACACCAGGAAUAUGUCAACAAUAUUGAGUCUUACCUUUACAUCGAUAUCCUUGUUUGAUCACUCCCCAGAGCUAUGAAACAAGAGACAGAAUGCACCACAUGUCAUUCAUCCAUCUGGUGUGAGGCUACAAGGUGACAUUCCUUUAUUUUCCUUCAUUUUACUCUCUAGCUCAAGUGGGAAGGAAACCUCAUUUAUCUCUCAUGUCUUGUCCCUUCUGACCUUAAAUCCAUGAGAAGAGUUUAUGCUGAUCAAAGUUUCUCAAGAAGCAGGUUUUUUUUGUUUUGUUUUUUUUGAGACAGUCUUGCCCAGUUGCCCAGGCUGGAGUGCAGUGGUGCGAUCUCGGCUCACUGCAACCUCCACCUCCUGGGUUCAAGCAAUUCUCCUGUCUCAGUUUCCCAAGUAGCUGGGACUACCAGGCAUGUUCCACCACACCUGGCUAAAUUUUUUUGUAUUUUUAGUAGAGACGGGUUUUCACCAUGUUAGGUGGGCUGGUCUCGAACUCGGGGCCUCAAGUGAUCUGCCUGCCUUGGCCUCCCAAAGUGCUGGGAUUACAGGCAUGAGCCACCACACCUGGCUCUCACUAGCAGCCUUAUGACCCAGACAUUCUCGAGAAAUGGAUGAAUCAUCGGGCAAACAGGUUCCUCAGGACUCCAAACUGAGAAGGAUAUAGAGCCUUGCAUCAGGACCCGAGUUUAGGGGGAAACGAUUGGUCAGGAGUGGAACGGAAGAGGGGCAUAGCCAAGGUUAUCUCCUAAAGACAGAAGGUAUCUCAUAUGUCUUUGUUAUAACACUUGAAACAGCACAUGAAUAUUAUACUUUAAAAGUAUAUCCUAAUUCAGCAUUUCUGGUACCAUUUAUCUAAGGCCUCAUUGCAAUAGAAAAGAAAAAACAGGAAGAAGCGAGAGAUGAUGAGUGCAGGUAAAAACCACACGCUUGAGCUCUAGGUUAUUCUAGGUGUCUGUCUGGGCUCCAAGCUGGGAUGGGUUCAUAAGGAUUGUGAGGUCUGUGCCUGUCUUAAAGUAUCCCACACUCUUCCCCAAAUUCAGCCCUGGAGCACCCUAAGAACAACUUACAAAUCCAGCACAGUUGUCACAAAAAGUGGGCUUCAGGUAGGUGGUCUCUUGGAAGUUGUGAGGAAAGCCCAGGCCCAGCUUGGAAUAGAUUGAGCUGGCUCUCAUGAAGUAGGCUGUGAUCUCAUCCCUGCUGAUGAGGCCUUCCCUGCCGGCAGAUGACCAAGGCAAGGAUGUGAGUAUAAGGGGCAUGGAGGCAGGUAGCAAGGGGGGGCUUCUAGCCUUAGAAACUCACCUUUCUUUUUAUCCUCAGUGGUAAUAUGGUAUGUGCUACCUCAUGAUUACUUCCAUGGGCCCUACUCUUAACAAGGAUACAAGAUGACAUGUGGUAAGUAGGUAAGGCAGCAUUACUCAUUUCCACAGAGGUGUUCUUUGGCCAAACUAGGUUUCCCUAACUAACUUGACCACUAUCUAUAAGACUUGAAAAAGAAACAAUGUAACAUGUACAUGUGUAUAGGGAGGGAAAUGUCUUAUGCUACAGUUUCUGACUUUAGACAGUACCUAACUGGAACCCACUAACCAUAUGAUUAGUUUCCUAUAGAGAACCAAGAUAGAAUUUAUUUAACCUUGAGAAAAGUAAAAAUGCAAAGUAUGAAUAAGUAUUAGUUGUUUCCCAAAAUCUGUAAUGACAAAGCAAGAAGGAAGACUAAACUUUUUCUUAUUUAUAGUUGACUAUUUAUAAAGUGGCAGAUUUAUGGAAUGUUCAAUUCAGUUUUUGUUUUUUUUUUUUUUGAGACAGGUUUUUGCUCUUGUGGCCCAGGCUGGAGUGCAGUGGCAUGAUCUCGGCUCACUGCAACCUCCGCCUCCUGGGUUCAAACAACUCUCCUGCCUCAGCCUCCCGAGUAGCUG